rnacentral:rRNA from 1 species
UACAGAGGUCUCGAGCGUUAGGCGGAAUCACUGGGCUUAAAGCGUGUGUAGGCGGGCCGUUAAGUGCCUUGUGAAAUCCCAUGGCUCAACCAUGGAACUGCUGGGCAUACUGGCGAUCUUGUGCCACCUAGGGGCGAGCGGAACAGAUGGUGGAGCGGUGAAAUGCGUAGAUAUCGCUUGGAACGCCGACGGUGAAAACAGCUCGCUGGGGGUCUUCUGACGCUGAGACACGAAAGCCAGGGGAGCGAACGGG